rnacentral:tRNA from 1 species
CUAAGGAAAAUGGAAGCACGUUUGGGAUCUUUAUUUAGUUUUGAGAGGUCUUUGUGGGGCCUUAGCUCAGCUAAGCGACAACGAAUGUUGGCGCUUUGUCGAAACUAGCGGAGCUAGUGCACGACAGGGAACAGCGACAGACAACAAAGAUAUACUAAACAAAGUACUAAUAAAGUAUUAACCCGUUUAUUAGUCGGGGCCUUAGCUCAGCUGGGAGAGCGCCUGCUUUGCACGCAGGAGGUCAGCGGUUCGAUCCCGCUAGGCUCCAUUAACUAGGAUACAAAGAGAUGCUCGGCAUGCCGAAAUUUCUGUAGAAAAUUAGGAAUCUGACACUGUGUAUUUACACACAAGGAAGAUUAUCUAUUUUCCUAAGAAAUUAAUCUCGUGUUCAACUUAGUUAAACCAAUGUGUUUAAUCUAAAUAAGGUUAGCACAGAUAGUCCAUUGAAAAUUGAAUAUCUAUAUCAAAUUCCACAAUCAAUAAAAAAAUGAUUGUAAGAAUAGUAACAAGAAAAUAAACCGAAAACGCUGUAAGUAUUUAAUGAGUUUAGAUCGCAAGAUCAAAAAUAA